UACUCUUGGCGGUGGAUCACUCGGCUCCUGAGUCGAUGAAGGAUGCAGGUAGCUGCGAGAAAUUAUGUGAAUUACAGGACAUGUUGAUCACUGACACUUUGAAUGCACCUUGCGGCCCUGGGUCCUUCAUGGGGCCACACCUGUCUGAUGGUCA